rnacentral:rRNA from 1 species
AACGAACGCUGGCGGCAUGCCUAACACAUGCAAGUCGAACGAGACCUUCGGGUCUAGUGGCGCACGGGUGCGUAACGCGUGGGAACCUGCCCUUAGGUUCGGAAUAACUCCCCGAAAGGGGUGCUAAUACCGGAUAAUGUCUUCGGACCAAAGAUUUAUCGCCUUUGGAUGGGCCCGCGUUGGAUUAGCUAGUUGGUAGGGUAAAAGCCUACCAAGGCGACGAUCCAUAGCUGGUCUGAGAGGAUGAUCAGCCACACUGGGACUGAGAUACGGCCCAGACUCCUACGGGAGGCAGCAGUGGGGAAUAUUGGACAAUGGGCGAAAGCCUGAUCCAGCAAUGCCGCGUGAGUGAUGAAGGCCUUAGGGUUGUAAAGCUCUUUUACCCGGGAUGAUAAUGACAGUACCGGGAGAAUAAACUCCGGCUAACUCCGU